rnacentral:rRNA from 1 species
AGCGAACGCUGGCGGUAGGCCUAACACAUGCAAGUCGAACGGCAGCACAGUAAGAGCUUGCUCUUACGGGUGGCGAGUGGCGGACGGGUGAGGAAUACAUCGGAAUCUACUUUUUCGUGGGGGAUAACGUAGGGAAACUUACGCUAAUACCGCAUACGACCUACGGGUGAAAGCAGGGGAUCUUCGGACCUUGCGCGAUUGAAUGAGCCGAUGUCGGAUUAGCUAGUUGGCGGGGUAAAGGCCCACCAAGGCGACGAUCCGUAGCUGGUCUGAGAGGAUGAUCAGCCACACUGGAACUGAGACACGGUCCAGACUACUACGGGAGGCAGCAGUGGGGAAUAUUGGACAAUGGGCGAAAGCCUGAUCCAGCCAUACCGCGUGGGUGAAGAAGGCCUUCGGGUUGUAAAGCCCUUUUGUUGGGAAAGAAAAGCAGCAGGUUAAUACCCCGCUGUUCUGACGGUACCCAAAGAAUAAGCACCGGCUAACUUCGUG